rnacentral:rRNA from 1 species
AACGAACGCUGGCGGCAUGCCUAACACAUGCAAGUCGAACGAAGGCUUCGGCCUUAGUGGCGCACGAGUGAGUAUCGCGUGGGAACCUGCCCUUUGGUACGGAAUAACUGCGGGAAACUGCAGCUAAUACCGUAUACGUCCUCCGGGAGAAAGAGUUAUCGCCGAAGGAGGGGCCUGCGUCCGAUUAGGCAGUUGGUGAGGUAACGGCUCACCAAGCCGACGAUCGGUAGCUGGUCUGAGAGGAUGAGCAGCCACACUGGGACUGAGACACGGCCCAGGCUCCUACGGGAGGCAGCAGUGGGGAAUAUUGGACAAUGGGCGAAAGCCUGAUCCAGCAAUGCCGCGUGAGUGAUGAAGGCCUUAGGGUUGUAAAGCUCUUUCACCCACGACGAUGAUGACGGUAGUGGGAGAAGAAGCCCCGGCUAACUUCGUGCCAGCAGCCGCAGUAA